rfam:Ricinus communis cultivar Hale ctg_1100012338342, whole genome shotgun sequence.
CCUCGCGGCGGACGAGCCGCGCGGGCCGCCUUGAAUUACAAUUUCCACCGGGCGGCGGACUGAAUCCUUUGCAGACGACUUAAAUACGCGACGGGGUAUUGUAAGUGGCAGAGUGGCCUUGCUGCCACGAUCCACUGAGAUUCAGCCCUUUCGUCGCUCCGAUUCGU